UACGUAGGGGGCAAGCGUUGUCCGGAAUCAUUGGGCGUAAAGCGCGUGUAGGCGGCUCGAUAAGUCUGCUGUGAAAGUCCAGGGCUCAACCCUGGGAUGCCGGUGGAUACUGUCGAGCUCGAGUCCGGAAGAGGAGUGUGGAAUUCCUGGCGUAGCGGUGAAAUGCGCAGAUAUCAGGAGGAACACCAAUGGCGAAGGCAGCACUCUGGGACGUGACUGACGCUGAGGCACGAAAGCGUGGGGAGCAAACAGG
rnacentral:rRNA from 1 species